rnacentral:rRNA from 1 species
UACGUAGGGGGCAAGCGUUGUCCGGAUUUAUUGGGCGUAAAGAGCGCGUAGGCGGCUCGGUAAGUCCGCUGUAAAAGUCAAAGGCUCAACCUUUGAAUGUCAGUGGAUACUGCCGGGCUAGAGUCCGGAAGAGGCGAGUGGAACUCCUGGUGUAGCGGUGGAAUGCGCAGAUAUCAGGAAGAACACCAACGGCGAAGGCAGCUCGCUGGGACGGUACUGACGCUGAGACGCGAAAGCGUGGGGAGCGAACAGG